UACGUAGGCAGCGAGCGUUGUUCGGAGUUACUGGGCGUAAAGGGUGUGUAGGCGGUUGUUUUAAGUUUGGUGUGAAAUCUCCCGGCUCAACUGGGAGGGUGCGCCGAAUACUGAAUGACUAGAGUGCGGGAGAGGAAAGUGGAAUUCCUGGUGUAGCGGUGAAAUGCGUAGAUAUCGGGAGGAACACCAGUGGCGAAGGCGGCGAUCUGGGAAGAUACUGACGCUGAGGUGCGAAAGCGUGGGGAGCAAACAGGG
rnacentral:rRNA from 1 species